ensembl:lncRNA
AUGAUGGAACAUCAACACAUAUAUGAGAUUCCCUCUCAGGAUUCUGGCAGGGAAACUGUGGCAGUUGAAAUGAACAAUUUCUCAGAGGCAGAUAAUGGAGUGGUUUCACCUGAAGUCGUCUAUGUGAGGGCAAGAAGCAAGAUGAAUGAGGGAGACAUGGUGAAGGCUCAGAAGUACAGUCGAUGUGCAUGUAGGACAAACACAGUGGCCGUGAUUGUGACCGGUGCAGCUCUAACUGUGUUCCUAGGCUUCUAUUGUGGUGGAGUCUUUAAUAAUGGUGUUAUCUUACAUACUUUACCUGCGGCUUCCUCAGCAAGUUCCUCUGACACGUCUUUUUCCUCUUUUGAACUGUCUUUUGACAUUGAAAGGCAAAAAUCAAAACCCCGAAAUUAUUAUGAUCAAGGUAGACACAACUCUUAUCCAUCUGGAAGCAACAUUAAUAGAAGCCCUCAGAGACCCUCAUACAGUGGAGGAAGAUGGAAAGGGUGAGGACAGAAAUACAAGUGAUACUGUGAGGUAAAAAUGAUCAUCGCAGUUUUACUGAAAUGUCAUAAUAAUGCCAUAAGUUUAGUUUGAUUAGCAGAAUUUGGAUUAGAAACCUUUUCUAAAAUUAUAUUAGAGUCAUCAGGGUCACAUCAUUUGCUUCUGAUAUCACUUGCUGAGAAGACAUAAGGAUAUAGCAAUUUCUUGAUUGUAUCGUCUUCUAUUUAUGUUUGAAUGAACAUGUAAUUAGCUUUAAGAACGUAUUUUAGUGGUUUCUAUGCUUUGUAGUUACAUAAUGUAAAUGGAUCUUAUGAAACUAUACAUGCAUAUUCACUUAAUUUUUUUUUUUUUAGAGGCAAUAAUUAAACGCAGGUGUUUCCUGAGGGUCACACAUCAGUAAAUAUGGCUCUUUUUUUGUAUACACUCCCUUGGCUCCAUAUAUGUCUGUUGCAUCAAUGAUAGUAUAGUUUUUAAUGUUUUUACUAGUCUUGCUAAUGAAUUGCUUUGGUAAAACAGAAUGUGAAUGAGAAUGGGUCAACAAAUAAACAAUUCAAUCAUGACCUUAUAAGCA